GACGAACGCUGGCGGCGUGCUUAACACAUGCAAGUCGAACGAAGUGGCGAACGGGUGAGUAACGCGUAAUCAACCUGCCCUUCAGAGGGGGACAACAGUUGGAAACGACUGCUAAUACCGCAUACUGAAGGUGGGGAUUGCGUCUGAUUAGCUAGUUGGAGGGGUAACGGGCCACGAAGGCGAUGAUCAGGAGCCGGAGUGAGAGGAAGAACGGCAAAAUUGGGACUUAGACACGGCCGAGACUCGUACGGGAGGCAGCAGUGGGGAAUCUGCCGCAAUGGACGAAAGUCUGACGGAGCAACGCCGCGGGAGUGAUGACGGCCUUCGGGUUGUAAAGGUCUGUUAAUCGGGACGCGGUAACGGAAGAGAAAGCCACGGCUAACUACGUGCCAGCAGCCGCGGUAAUUG
rnacentral:rRNA from 1 species